GGCCUAAUGGUCUAGUAGUAUGAUUCUCGCUUUGGGCUUGCAAUGCGAGAGGUCCUGGGUUCAAUUCCCAGUUAGGCCC